rnacentral:rRNA from 1 species
AGGACGACGCUGGCGGUGUGCUUAACACAUGCAAGUCGUGCGACGAACCAGACUUCGGUCUGGGGCAAAGCGGCGAACGGUGAGUAACACGUGGGUAAUCUGCCCCGAUGACUGGGACAACCCGAGGAAACUCGGGCUAAUACCGGAUGUGGUGCCUGGACUCAAGUCCGGUCACUAAAGGUAGCUUCGGCUUCCGCAUUGGGAGGGGCCCGCGGCCCAUUAGCUUGUUGGUGGGGUCAAGGCCUACCAAGGCAACGAUGGGUAGCUGGUCUGAGAGGACGAUCAGCCACACUGGGACUGAGACACGGCCCAGACUCCUACGGGAGGCAGCAGUGGGGAAUCUUGCGCAAUGCGCGAAAGCGUGACGCAGCAACACCGCGUGAGGGAAGACGGCCUUAGGGUUGUAAACCUCUUUCAGAUGGGACGAAGGUGAUGCGGUGAAUAGCCGAUGUCAUUGACGGUACCGUCAGAAGAAGCUCCGGCUAACUACGUG